ensembl:lncRNA
AUCACUUCUUCAUCUUAGCCUAAAGUCUGCCAUCUAGUCCUCACUGAACUCAACAGACCACUGAUUCCAACUAAAUCUGACACUAAACGGGCCCUCAAAAUUUCAUGAGGAAUCAAGUGAGUUGUUUCUCCUUAUCACUGAAAGAGAGUGAAACUCUCCAUGCCAAUAUUCCUCAAGCUUCCUGGGAAAUUUGAGGCAUACACUACACCACUUAUUAGGUCUGCUACACCUCAGCUCUUGUUAGCCAAGUGUAGGAGAAGACGGGACCUGGAGAGUAUCACUUCCUCUCAAAGAGCCAAUGCUAGAGACUUUCAUUCCUCAAGCAAGUGUCAUCAGUCAAGUUUGGAGGUUUGGAGGACGGUCCAAUGCUUGGGCAGAAAGCACAGCUGUAGCUACAAGGGUCGCUUCCAGAAUGAAAUGCAAUUCUGGCCAGUCACAUAGGAUAUAUGCACGUAAUAGGAUGUAUGCACGUUUGGACGGAUGGGUGACAAGCUGUCUAUCUAUAUGUGUGUGUGCAAAUAUGUGUGUGUGUAUAUAU